rnacentral:lncRNA from 1 species
CGUUUGUUCACUCACUUUCUGUGAAAAGAGUUUUGAAAUGUAUUCUGAAUAGACAGCAUUUCCUUUGUGUAGUUGGUAAAUAACGGAGAGCAAAGUUAGUCAGCAAGUUACAUAGUUUCUGCAUUCUGAUUCUUUGGAGCCCUUUUGUAUCAAGCCUGGGCAGGAUGUUUUUAACAGAAUGUGACCUCACAAGCAUACUAGAGAAAAGAAUCUUGGAUUGGACUGUGUGGAGAAAUCGAAAAAGAAAUAUCAUAAGAGAAAUUGAGGGUAAUUCUCCAUAUCCAGGAAAAGACUGCUGGGUACACAUCAGUAGAGAAUCACCAAAGAAAGGUAAGAAAAAAAGAUGUUCCUUGGGGAGAAAAAGUCAGCCUUGUUAUUUUGUUAUAGUCUAUUGGUUUGAGCUCUGGAGAAGUGACUACAUGCAUUUCCUCCCUAGGACUGUUCAGUGAGGAUUUAACUGCAAAGAUCCCCAUCUUUCCCCUGGGCUUUUCGAUCUUUCUAGUGUCACUGAAAGAGCAUCCUCUUCCACCUGUGUUUACUGUGGUGAGAACUCCUCACCUAUACUUAGUUCCAAAAGGAAGUCAUUUCUGAGACACCCAUUAGUGGAGGACAAAGACAAAUUGAAAAAGAAACUGAAAAGCUUAUGACAUGCAGUCAUGUCUGUGUUGAAAACAAAAUAAAAAGGGAAAAAGUCACA